CUACGGGCCGCAGCAGUCGAGAAUUUUCGGCAAUGGACGCAAGUCUGACCGAGCAACGCCGCGUGUGCGAUGAAGGCCUUCGGGUUGUAAAGCACUGUCGAGGGGGAGAAAAACUGAUCGACCCCUGGAGGAAGGACGGGCUAAGUUCGUGCCAGCAGCCGCGGUAAGACGAACCGUCCAAACGUUAUUCGGAAUCACUGGGCUUAAAGGGCGCGUAGGCGGGUGGUCAAGUCAGGGGUGAAAUCCUCCAGCUUAACUGGAGAAGUGCCUCUGAUACUGGCUGUCUUGAGUGAGGUAGGGGCAUAUGGAACUUCCGGUGGAGCGGUGAAAUGCGUAGAUAUCGGAAGGAACGCCAGUGGCGAAAGCGAUAUGCUGGACCUUUUUCUGACGCUGAGGCGCGAAAGCUAGGGGAUCAAACGGGAUUAGAUACCCCGGUAGUC
rnacentral:rRNA from 1 species